rnacentral:miRNA from 1 species
GUGUAAGUAUCUCUCUCUCUCUCUCUCUCUCUCUCUCUCUCUCUCUCUCUCUAUAUAUAUAUAUAUAUAUAUAUAUAUAGAGAGAGAGAGAGAGAGAGGUAAUUAUUAAG